AAAUGCCCUCCCCAGGGUGAUGUGCCCACAGCUCCAGUGGACCCCCAGGGUGUGCAUUGGAAGGGCCAUGAAAGCAGGCAGAGUCAAUCCUGGGCAGGGAGCUGCCCACAGCCCCUCACCUAGGUAUUAGGCCUCCCUCUGCACUGCUCUGCCCACCAGCACCUGGCAGUGGGCAAAUGGCAGUGUUCCUUCCCUGGGGCUGGGGAUGUGGCUGGGAUCAGGGACAUUCCCUUUCCUGCAGCACCAGGAACUGGACACUGGAGCUGCCCCAGGAGAGCGCCAGGUGGGGGGUCUCUGUGGCGCAGCAGGUAGCGCAUUCGGCUGUUAACCGAAAGGUUGGUGGUUUGAGCCCACCCAGGGAUGUUGCCCUCUUGGUGGGGUGCCUGGGGGAUUGUGCUGCCCAGCACCCUGGGUUUUGCUCACAGUCACCAUGUCCCAGCUUUGGGACAGCAGAUCUGCUGGUGGCUGGGAUAUSCAUGUUGCUGUGGGAUGUCCUUUCUAGACCAUGGGGGAUGGCCAGAGUGGCUGGAGAGCAGCACGGAGGAUGUACAUGGGAGUGAUUCAGACAUCUGCCUGAUGUGCAGACAGCUCAGCCAGAGACCCCCGUGGCAGGGUCAGUCCUUCAUCCGCCCCAAGCAAAACCUCGGGGUGGAGGACAGCACCCUCCAUCCAGGCUGCGCUUGAUCCUUAGCCUGACUUGUUGGCUGGAGAGAGGCUGAGUCUGGAGACAGAGAGGGACAUCCUGGGUCGCAGUCAUAGCUGAGCUCCUGAUGGGAGAGCAGGGUUCAGCAGCAGCAAGAGCUGCCAAGAUGGCCAACCCAGCAUGUGGGGCCGCAGGAGCAGGGCUUCUCCCUCUGUGCRGGGAYRGGRGGCUGCAARGUGCUGCAGCUGGGCUGGGCAGGGCAGCCUSAUGRRUGAGUACAUUUGGGUAAGGAAAGCGGGGAGGAUCGAGACAUCAAGACAUUUGUGCUGUGAGCUAGUACAGAGGGGAUAGAGAACACAAAAGCAAAGUCUGUGUGUAAUGUUCAGGAGAAGUAUUUAAAAAAAAAAAAAAAGUAAAUUUGGAGAGCAAAACUGACUUCCAGUCUCAGAUCUGGGGCUGUUGUGAAGUCAUGGUUUUACAGGCAGCUUUUAGCCUCCCUGCUAGACCCCAGGGGAGUCACUGCCUUUCUGCCCUGUCUUGCGCCCUUUCAGCAGGAAGGAGCUGAUGCAGAGGGAUGUUCAGUAGGGGUCCCAGACAGAUCCCUCUGUGCUCUUUCUCACACUGAAGUCCCUGCUCCCUGCGCAGCUGGUUAAACAGCCCCCUCCCUGCCACUCGCAUUCAGCGCUUCUCCCUCUACAUCUGC
rnacentral:tRNA from 1 species